rnacentral:lncRNA from 1 species
UGGGGAAAGAAAUUACAGAAAAUGCUGUCUUAGGCUUAGGAAGAUGGAUGUUGGAUCUUGGAGUUUCAGAAAUUUUCAGGUCCACCCUCCCUAGAUUAAAAGAUAAAGUCUAAAUAUUAAAUAUAACAGCAAUUACAGAAAAUUAAGUGUGUGAAACUUAUCAUUCAGACCUGUUCAUUUAUGAGUUUGGUAUAUGUAUGAGAAAUAACCUGACAAAUACAUGAGUCUCUUUCUAGGACGUAUUGUAAAUUCAGUUGAUUUGUUAUUCUUAUACCCAUCUUAGUAACUUUUUAAAAUUAUAAUGAAAUUGAUAUAAUUUGAAAUUGAUAUCUGAUAAGGCAACUCUCUGUUUGCUAGGAUUUUUUCAAAUAUUUGUAGAUGUUUGGUUUAACAUAUAAAAUUCACAGUUUGUCCAGUUACCCCAAAAUUCUUGUAUGAAUAACUUUGAUUUUAGAUUAAUGUGGAGAAAAGCAAUGUGUUUACAAUGUUAAAUCAUCUCAAUGAAUAAGUUAUGGCUCUUUUCAGGAUUUUUUGUUUUCUAAUUUUUUUUGUUUAUUGCUGUUAGACUAAUUUCUAGAUAUUUAUCAUUUUCUGUUUAUACAGUAAAUGGUGUUCUAUUUUCUCUUUAUUUGGUAUUUCUAGUGUAUUGUCACACUAUUGAUUUAUUUUAAUGAUUAAGCUGAAAACUCUUAAUUUUAGUAAUAUGUAU